ACACUGAAAAAUCCAACCUUUAGGUACAGCUUAGCACUCUGGGGCAUUCAGCUCCCCAAGACCUGCCAGUUCUCAUUUUAACAUUUGAUAUUUUAUGACAACACAAAUUCAUCACGUUAUUGUGUUGUUUAUAUGCGACAAGGAUUCAAAAUGAUUACCUAUGGCAUUGCCUUCAAGAAAUGACUGGAUAGCUGUCUUGCAGAAGGAAGGUGCUUAUUUCAUCUUUGGCUUUCCAAGAGAGGAAUGUUUAACGCAUUAGAAGGCUCCUCCCCAACUCAGAUGCACCUAUUGGUCCUGCUUCUAGAAGACAAAAGAUAAGCUUUAUUUCUCUCUUGUGAAAGAUCCUUUCAGAUAUCUGAAGACAGCUAACAUGCCUUCUCUGUUCCCAGAUCAGGAAUGGAAUGUCACCUUUUGACAUCAUGUGAGAUGACAAUGUUGAGAACAAGGAUAACCUUUAUAGCUGAUCCAAGGAUUUGUUAGCAUGACUCCCAGAGGCUUCUGGGAAAGUGAUCUCUCUCCUGGCUCUGCGCUUCCAAUCAGGGCAUACUUGAAGCCUUUCCCACCCCGACUCUUCUGCC